CUCCUACGGGAGGCAGCAGUAGGGAAUCUUCCACAAUGGGCGAAAGCCUGAUGGAGCAACGCCGCGUGGGUGAAGAAGGUCUUCGGAUCGUAAAACCCUGUUGUUAGAGAAGAAAGUGCGUGAGAGUAACUGUUCACGUUUCGACGGUAUCUAACCAGAAAGCCACGGCUAACUACGUGCCAGCAGCCGCGGUAAUACGUAGGUGGCAAGCGUUAUCCGGAAUUACUGGGUGUAAAUGGAGAGUAGGCGGCAAGGUAAGCGAUAUGUGAAAGCCUUAAGCUUAACUUAAGGAUUGCAUAACGAAC
rnacentral:rRNA from 1 species